UAGGAAAAUAUUAAUACGGAUAUACAAUAUUUAUUGUACACCUAGCUAUUUUUUAUUCGUUAAAAUAAAUAGUUUUUUUUUUUUUGAAACAAUUAAAAUAAAUAGUUUGAUUUAAUAUAUUAUUAUUGUUAUUAUUAGAUUACCAUCCAGAAACUAGCAAGUUGCUACCAAUACCCAUUUUAAUUAAUUCAUCAUAUUUUUUAAUCCAAUAAUUUCUUCGUCAUAAUCCAAUAAUAGAUUACAACUUUGUUUCCUUAAGAUAUUUGUAAUCCCACCCAAGUAAGAUCCCCUAGUUUAUUCCAAAAAGAAGAACCAUUAUCUAGUAGUCCACAUUUAGUUCUCAAAAUAGAAAAUAAGUUAAAAAUAAAUAAAAAAAAAAAAAAAAAAAAAAAACCAAACCCCAUCAUCCUCAACAGGUCACUCCACCCUCAUUUCCUCAACACCUCAACUCUUCCUCAACGCCUCAACUCCUCAACUCCAUAUUCUUCUCCAAACCCGCGAAAUUGUAAAUAAUUUUCGGCUCCAAAUUUUUUUGAUCAUGAAUAAGCAGUUACUCCACUUUUCAGUUGUUGAUCUCAUUAUACAACACACUCAUCGUCUUAAAAUCAUCAUAUCCCCCAAUCGGUUACUCUACUUACUCACCUCCUUUCUUUCCACUUAGGUGAGAGUUAAUUAAGAGUAUAGAGUAUCUAUUUCAAUUCGUAAUUAACUAGUUGCUUUGCUCUCUAGUCACACUGCUUUCUUUGGAUUUAUGGUUGGCUAGUUGGGUUUGAUGCCGGCGAAAUCGUUGUUGUAUUCUUAAUUUCAUCUACAAGUAUGACAAAGAAAAAAUCCACUAAGUUUGGAGCUAUAAGAGGUUCUGGUGAUGAGCAUCAAACUGAUGAACCAAGAAUGUCAGAAUAUGAGAGGCUGAGAAUGGAAACAAUUAGAAAAAAUAUUGCAAGAAUGGAAGAAUUAGGUUUGAAGGAACAGGCUAAGUCACUGAUGGCGCAAGUUCAAAAUAAUAGAGGCAAUCAAAGUAAGAAUAAAAAGAAAAAGGUUUUGGGAGACGAUGAGCUCUAUAGGCCCUAACCAAGAUAUGGAGCAUGAGCUUGAUUCCACCGAUGAAGAGUUACCCAUUCCACAGUCUAAAAGUAAAGACAAGUCCAAUGCUAUUCAAUGGAAGGUAGUUUUUUCUAAGCUGUACAUUUAUAAUUAAACAUGUCUCUAUUCCUUACUCAUGUAAUUCUGUAUGCAUCAAGAUGAUGUGUUGUGCUGCUAUAUAUAUGUCAUAUGUGGGUUUAAAAUUUAAAAUAUAGGUUUUAAAUUGAGAAUGGAACUCUAUUAUCUCAUGCAAGUAUAUAUGCAACUAGGAAUAGAUGUUUGAAUGUUCUGAUUUGCCAUCAACUAUGAACAUGUAUUGAUUGAAAAUUUGUCCAGUUCUCUACAGAUUUAGAAAGUAGUAAGAAAAAUGUCUUGGUGUGCUGCUGUUGCUUUAUAAUGUUGUUGUUGCCUAUUGCUUUGCGGCUGUUGAAACUUUAAUUCUACUGCUCUAUUGUCAUGAGUUGCUGCCCCCUUGCCUUGCCGACUGUACACUUGUUCUGCAAUCUACUGCCAAAUACUUCUCUAGAACUUAACACAAAUUCUGCUCUGCGCUGUAAGCAGUUAAACUACAAGUUUCAAUUUAGAUUGAAUGAUUCAUGAUUGAGCUGUACUGUAAUAAUGUAAUGUAUGUUUUUUAUUGUGAUGUUCUGAUUUUGAUUACAUUCAUCAGUGAUUACCUUAAUCCCAAAUAAACUUGGAUGGUUUGUCAUAUCAUUUGCAAAAGUGUGAAAUUGCGUAAGCAUUGUGCUAAUAGCCUAGUCUUUGUCAUGCACAUAUACAUUUUCUGUGAGACUCAACAGUCACACACUCUUAAACUAACUCAAUAGAAAGCACAUACAAAACAAGAAUAAUCAGCAAGAACAAAGAUUCGAUAGCCAAUGGAUUGAAAUAUAUUGAUAGUUCAGUAACUUUAGGUUACUACUGCCCAAAGUAUCUUUAGGAUACAAAGCUCCAAAUAUCCAAUACAAUAGUCUUCUCACAGAAUUCUUGACAAUGCAAAAACAUUCUUAUAUAUACAAGGCUUUUGUCCAACACAAAAUAGGCCGCCUUAAUUCAUUUUGUUUAUCUCUAUCUACUCUGAUAUAUGCUGCUCCAAGUUUCUGCUCCACUAGUGAGUGUUGUUCCCCCUUCCUGCAGACUCCCCUCUUCCCCUACCCUUUGUCCUUCAAAAAUUAAUUAAAUUUGUUCCCUUGUGCUGCUGUGGUUUUCCUCUUCUCUGAUAUUGCAAUAGAGGUUUGGGCUUGAGGUUUGGUGGCCCAUCUGUUUGGUGAUAUUUUUCUUGUAUGCUCAUAUACCUAAAGAUUAGCUCAAAUUUGACCUCUUAUGUCAAUAUGGUGUCUGAAACAGUAAAGAACACAAUUCUCAAGGCUACUUGAAGCACAUGCUUAGUUCGACAUUAAUGUUUAAUUUUUUAUAAAUGCCCUUAUGAAUGUGUGGUCUAUGAUCAAUUAAUUGCUUAUCAAUUUAACAAGAGUUAUGAAGUGUGAAACUUUUUUUGUAUAAUGUUUGUACAUACAUAUUUUAGAGUAUUGUCUGUCUUUUUUUUUCCAUGUUUGUUCCCAAUUUCAGAUUCGUAAAAUGAAGGCUCUGACUCGAAAAGCAGUGAUGGCAAAACGUCGGCGAAAUGUUGAUUUGGCUUCUUCACAUGGUGGCUCAUCUACCCCUAAUCAUACAUUACAUCAGCAUUAUUCAACCACAAGAGAACUAGUUGAAAUGCUCGGAUUAGAAGUUGAACACUUAAAUCAUGACAAGAAUGAUAAAGAAAAUGGCAAUCUAUCGUUUGUAUUUGUAACUAAAAUUCUUUACCUACAUGCUUGAUAAGACAUUUUUUUAACAUUUGAAUUUCUUUGCUCAUGUUAGCUGAAAAGGAUAAGCCUAGAAGAGGACCCACUAUGUGCUACAAAGUCCAUGGACGCAGCGAAGAAGAACGUUACCUUGAAUGAGCAUGGACAACCUGUUGGUCCGGAUGACAGUACAUGCAAUGAGUUCAUUAGCUUCUUAGGAACAAUAGCUCGAAAAGCAAAUAUCCUACCACUGACUGUCAAGAAUUGGCCCAUACUAAGGAACGAGAAGAAAGAAGAACUUUGGGAUUAUGUCUUGAAACAUUUUAUUGUCCCAAUUGAGGGAAAAAAAUGGGUUUUGCAAACCAUUGGUGCUGCUUGGAGAAGGUACAAAUGUUAUUUAAAAAGAGUACACUUUCAUAAAUAUGACAAUGAUAAAACAAGGAUGAUCAAACGACCAAAACUAGUCCCAAAAAAUAUGUUCCAAGACUUGUUAAAGAUUUGGAAUGAUGUCAAAUAUGAGGAACGAUGUAUGCAAAAUAAAGCAAAUUGGUUAGUUGGAAAGGAAAAGAACAUUAUGCAUACUUCAUGACCAAAGAGUUUUGCUAGGGUUCGAUAUAAGUGGAAAAAGGAUAAUAAAACAACAAAAAAUCCUAGUUUAGCUCAAAUGUUCAUAGCAACACGCAAGGAGAAGCUAACAAAGCGAAAGCCUGGUGACCUAAGGGACAAAUUGAUGACUGAACUUGAGAAAUUAGAUUCAGAGGAGGAGGUUGAAAGUGUGAUUUCAACUAUUAAUGGUUCUGAUAACAAGAAAAAGUCUCGAUUAAAUUUUCAUGGAAGAGGUGUUUCAUCAACUUAAUUAAAGCAGAAGGCCUUGAUGAAGGAAGCUGAAGAGAAGCAUGCUCAGGAGGUUCAAGCUCUACAAAAAGAUUAUUAGGACAAAAGGAAACAAGAUAGAAUGGAGAUAGCAUAUGGUCUUAGCUCCAUCCUUUCUCAAAUUCAACAACAAAAUCCACAAAUGUCUUUUGAUUUAAGUAUGCUUGGCUCUUUAUUUCUUGACAAUCAAUCUGAGAAGGAUGGUGGUAGUACAACAGAAAUGCUUCGAUUUCAAUCUUCGGCUUCUACAUCCAAGGGAGAUGAACAAGAAAAAGAUGAAGAAGGCUGCGAGUAAGAAGAAGAAGAAUAUGACUUUAUGGCUCAAUUUGAAGUUGCUUUAACCUUUUAUUAUUUCUUCUAUUUUUUAGUUAGACUAAUAUUAUGGCCUACAACAUUCUAUUAAACAAUAGAUUAUUUAGAUAGAUUUGAUGUUGAAAACAAGUUGAUAUUGUUUUGGUUGUACUGUUUUACUAAUUAAUUUUAUAAGUUUGGGAUUCUGUAGUCAAAUGCUUAUUACAUGUUUUAAUGUUCAACAUUUUUCUAAUAUAACAAAUUCAAAAUAGUA